rnacentral:rRNA from 1 species
UAGGGAAUCUUCCGCAAUGGGCGAAAGCCUGACGGAGCAACGCCGCGUGAGUGAUGAAGGUCUUCGGAUCGUAAAACUCUGUUAUUAGGGAAGAACAAAUGUGUAAGUAACUAUGCACGUCUUGACGGUACCUAAUCAGAAAGCCACGGCUAACUACGUGCCAGCAGCCGCGGUAAUACGUAGGUGGCAAGCGUUAUCCGGAAUUAUUGGGCGUUAAGCGCGCGUAGGCGGUUUUUUAAGUCUGAUGUGAAAGCCCACGGCUCAACCGUGGAGGGUCAUUGGAAACUGGAAAACUUGAGUGCAGAAGAGGAAAGUGGAAUUCCAUGUGUAGCGGUGAAAUGCGCAGAGAUAUGGAGGAACACCAGUGGCGAAGGCGACUUUCUGGUCUGUAACUGACGCUGAUGUGCGAAAGCGUGGGGAUCAAACAGG